GGGUUGUGAGGUUAAGCGACUAAGCGUACACGGUGGAUGCCCUGGCAGUCAGAGGCGAUGAAGGACGUGCUAAUCUGCGAUAAGCGUCGGUAAGGUGAUAUGAACCGUUAUAACCGGCGAUUUCCGAAUGGGGAAACCCAGUGUGUUUCGACACACUAUCAUUAACUGAAUCCAUAGGUUAAUGAGGCGAACCGGGGGAACUGAAACAUCUAAGUACCCCGAGGAAAAGAAAUCAACCGAGAUUCCCCCAGUAGCGGCGAGCGAACGGGGAGGAGCCCAGAGCCUGAAUCAGUGUGUGUGUUAGUGGAAGCGUCUGGAAAGGCGCGCGAUACAGGGUGACAGCCCCGUACACAAAAAUGCACAUGCUGUGAGCUCGAUGAGUAGGGCGGGACACGUGGUAUCCUGUCUGAAUAUGGGGGGACCAUCCUCCAAGGCUAAAUACUCCUGACUGACCGAUAGUGAACCAGUACCGUGAGGGAAAGGCGAAAAGAACCCCGGCGAGGGGAGUGAAAAAGAACCUGAAACCGUGUACGUACAAGCAGUGGGAGCCUCUUUUAUGGGGUGACUGCGUACCUUUUGUAUAAUGGGUCAGCGACUUAUAUUCUGUAGCAAGGUUAACCGAAUAGGGGAGCCGAAGGGAAACCGAGUCUUAACUGGGCGUUAAGUUGCAGGGUAUAGACCCGAAACCCGGUGAUCUAGCCAUGGGCAGGUUGAAGGUUGGGUA
rnacentral:rRNA from 1 species